rnacentral:rRNA from 1 species
GACAGAGGGUGCAAGCGUUGUUCGGAAUUAUUGGGCGUAAAGGGCGCGUAGGCGGCCUGUUAAGUCAGAUGUGAAAGCCCAGGGCUCAACCUUGGAAGUGCAUCUGAAACUAGCAAGCUAGAGUCUCGGAGAGGGUGGUGGAAUUCCCAGUGUAGAGGUGAAAUUCGUAGAUAUUGGGAGGAACACCGGUGGCGAAGGCGACCACCUGGACGAUGACUGACGCUGAGGCGCGAGAGCGUGGGGAGCAAACAGG